rnacentral:lncRNA from 1 species
ACUACUGACGGCCCAUUUCAGUAUUAGCGCGUUUCCGUAUUAGGUCUGCUGAUUCGGAGGAAUCACGCGGAAGUAGUAAAUUAGACGCAUCAAGUAGUGCAAAUCACCAACCAAAACAGUGACAUUUUGGAAAACUAAUGAAAGUAAAGUGUAUUUUAUUUUAAACAAGAGGACAUGUGCCAGUUCCAUUCCGAUUGUUAGGUUAUUCCGUAGAGGUAGCCUAUAGUCGCUGAAUUGUCAUCAUCAGAUAGAGUUAUGGCAUGCAGCGACUCAAUGGUGUCAAUGAAUGGAACUCAAGUUUCCUAUAUUGGACAUGACUGUGAGGACAUCCCAGAGUACCUUGGAGAAAGAUAUGGACUCUUGACAAGACGGCUAGAUCUCAGCUUCAAUCAGCUAAGAGCCAUGCAUAAUGUGCUGCUCUGCAAUCUGAUAAGUGAUCUCCUGCUCACUGGGCGACCCUCCCCUGUCCUAUACAUCACUACCCUAAUCUGAGACCUGUCCAGGUGUGUGUGUGUGUGUGUGUGUGUGUGUGUGUGUGUGUGUGUGUGUGUGAGAGAGAAGGAAGAGAACGCGAGAGGAGAGUAGAGAAGCAAAUAGCGAGUAAGUGUGUGGGAGAGAGAGGGAGA